GCAACUGAACUACCAUAAAGCAGUGUAAUCUCAUUUCAUUAAUGAAGAAACAGGUUCGGGGGAAGACAAAAGUAGUUUGGCUGAUUCAUCCUGGACAUCGGAAUCUGGUUGCAGAGAAGAAAAGGAGUUUCUGAGGGAUGAUUUCCUGAAAUGGGACCAAAAUCUAUUAUCAGGAGUUACAAGUUCCACAAGUUCCAGCUCUGCGCAACCUUGAAAGUGUUGCAAGAGGCACUUGUGACAAUCGCCCAGGCUGCUUCUUCUUUCAUUAAUCAAACAGACCCUAUGGCUCAGAAAAGUGAGGAGACUCUGCAGUUGGAGGAACUACCUUCCAGGAGCAGGGGGAAGAGGCUGAAUGCUUCAGAUAAUUCAAGAGACAAAGACCCUGGGCUUCAGGUCAAGCCUUCAUGAGGAAGCUCAUGCUCAUCUUCAGUUUGUUUAUCAAAAGGGAACAGAAACAACAACAGUAUCAAGCAAGAAGAAAAGCAGAUGUCCUCAGCAAAGGUGAGAAGUUUUGACAGUAUUAAUUGAGAAAUGAAACUCUGAGUAAGAAACACUACAUAGACUGAAGCAAUGACUAAUCAUUAGAGGAUGAUUCAAGACCCCUGAACGCCUCAUGAGAGGUGUUAUUGAACUGCUAGAUGCAAGGUCAAUCUUCCACAGAAAAGAAGAAACAAAGGAGUUAACUUGAGAGAAAAAUUCUUGUGAGCAAUGAGACCUUUUCUUUUUGAAAGGAAAAUUCCGUGCUUUCCCUUCUGGUUGGCCUGCCGUAGAGGAUGUGCUUUUGGAGUACAGCAUGUACAGUG
ensembl:lncRNA